GCUGACAAUUAUGACUUCAUCAUCCACAGCUCCAUGAAAAUCCUUUUCCAAAGUCUAGGAACCAGUGCAUAUUUUCCUUCUUGUUCUCCUUUUGUGUCCCCUGUUUCCCUCUUUGGUGCCAUACCAUUGUGAUAGCAAGGGUCAAAAUCAUCUUCUGACAACCCUUACAAGUACAUGAGGAAUAACUCUGAAAACCAGAGCUGCCAGAACCACUUUAACAGUCCCUUCACCCUCCUGAAGAAAAUUCAACCUUGCUUUUCCAAAAAUGGGCGAUGGAAAUGGGAUAAGCAGACAUUGCACACACACAGAGACACGAGAUAACAAAACAUAUGUCUAGAAUGGAGGAUUUUUCUUGAAUAAAAUAGAGAU